rnacentral:rRNA from 1 species
AAACAUGUCUUUUAGAUUAAUAAUUUAAAGUCUGAUCUGCCCACUGAUAUAAAAAUUAAAGGGCUGCAGUAUAUUGACUGUACAAAGGUAGCAUAAUCAAUAGUCUUUUAAUUGAAGACUUGUAUGAAAGAUUUGAUGAAAAAUAAACUGUCUCUAAUUUAAAAUUAGAAUUUAAUUUUUUAGUUAAAAAGCUAAAAUUUAUUUAAAAGACGAGAAGACCCUAUAGAGUUUUAUAUUAUUUUUAUUUAAGAUUAUAUUUAUAAUUAAUAAUUAAAAAUAAUAAUAAUAUUUUAUUGGGGUGAUAGAAAAAUUAAAAUAACUUUUUUUAAAUUAAAACAUAAAUAAGUGAAAAUAUGAUCCAUAAUUAAUGAUUAAAAGAAAAAAUUACCUUAGGGAUAACAGCGUAAUAUUUUUUUUUAGUACAAAUAAGAAAAAAAGUUUGCGACCUCGAUGUUGGAUUAAGAUAAAAGUUAAAUGCAAAAGUUUAAAUUUUUGAUCUGUUCGAUCAUUAAAAUCUUACAUGAUCUGA